UUAAGCUUGAUACAAGCUGUUAAAUAAUGAUAUCAAAUUCUUCAUACAAAUCAAAGUGGACGAGAAUGCCAAAGCGAGCCAGUACACAAAAAUAAUAGCACUGAAUACAAAAAUAAAAGCAAUAGCAUUGAAUUACUCAUGUCGAAUUUAUCUAUAAAUCAUUUAUUUCGUCAUACUUUGCAUCAAUAGUAUCUAAACGAAUCUUUGGUAUGACAUUUUAUUGCUUUUUCUCUUAGCAUUUACCUUACUGUGUACAGAGAAAACGUAUGCCAAUACACGCACACAUUUAUCUCUGUUAUCUUGACAAACGAUAGCGACGAUGACGACUACGGCGAUGUAGUACCUAGGUCAGUUAUUGUCAUCCCUUACUAUCCCGUGAUCAGACAAAUAUUGCUAUCCUUGUCUCCUUUCUAACCGGCAUGCAUCGCACGCAUAGAACGCGUGAGCGACUGCGUCACCGGCAACAUCUUGACAAGCUAUAGCAAACCGGUAUUUAUUACGUCCCUUAUGUGACCGCCGCCGCACGCCGCCACCAGUAAAGUUGGGGUUAGUAUUUUGCAUGUUUUGUUUGAUAAUUUGUUUACAGUUUAGUGCAAACUAUGGUCACGAUCUGUGUUAUUGUUGGUUGUUAAAAUAUUGUGAGUGCUCCAUAUGCAAAUGAAUAUUCAAGAUGUUAUAUUCUAAAAGAUAUUAGUGGAUGCAGAUAAGAGUGUUUAGUGAGUGCUAUGUUUGAAUAUUUGCAAGUGAAAACACAGCCUAUCGAUGUAAUGCGCCGAUAAACUAUCAUGACUGCAUUGAUGUAAUGCGCUAAAAAACUGGCUCCGAAUACAUGAUUACCAGAUAACAAAUCCUAGGUAAGAAUUUAUCACUAUUUUCAUAUGGUAUUGUGCUUAUGCUAGGAUACAGUGUUGUGGUGCUGAAGUUGAUAAAGUUAUAACAGCCAAUUUACUUGUCAAAACUCAUUUGUACCUAUCAGUUACAAGCGACAAAAACGUGUUUCUGAACUAAAUACCUAUGUAAGUAAUUCACACCCUGUGAAAUUUCAUACAAGUUUCAAACGCACCGUCCGACCAAACCGGUUUUGGACAAAAGCCAAAUUGUUUACUCAGCUAUCUCUUUCGCUCAAAAACAAUAGAGGUCGGUUAUGGGACAUAUAUAUUGAAAAAAGCGAAUACACUAAUGAACAGUAUUUCUACUCUACCCUUUUCGCACAAAAGUUCGCAGUUUCAAGUUAUUGUUGCAAUAAGUUACUGAUAAGAAAUUUUACUCCACUGUUUGCUGUGGUCUCCAAAUGACAAUAAAUUACCAAACAAAUAGUCUAGGUGAAAUAACGUUAUUACUACUCGUAUCUACCUACUCGUAUAUCAUAU